rnacentral:rRNA from 1 species
GGUUAAGCGACUAAGCGUACACGGUGGAUGCCCUGGCAGUCAGAGGCGAUGAAGGGCGUGCUAAUCUGCGAUAAGCGCCGGUAAGGUGAUAUGAACCGUUAUAACCGGCGAUACCCGAAUGGGGAAACCCAGUGUGAUUCGUCACACUAUCAUUAACUGAAUCCAUAGGUUAAUGAGGCGAACCGGGGGAACUGAAACAUCUAAGUACCCCGAGGAAAAGAAAUCAACCGAGAUUCCCCCAGUAGCGGCGAGCGAACGGGGAGGAGCCCAGAGCCUGAAUCAGCAUGUGUGUUAGUGGAAGCGUCUGGAAAGGCGCGCGAUACAGGGUGACAGCCCCGUACACAAAAGCGCAUGUGCUGUGAGCUCGAUGAGUAGGGCGGGACACGUGGUAUCCUGUCUGAAUAUGGGGGGACCAUCCUCCAAGGCUAAAUACUCCUGACUGACCGAUAGUGAACCAGUACCGUGAGGGAAAGGCGAAAAGAACCCCGGCGAGGGGAGUGAAAAAGAACCUGAAACCGUGUACGUACAAGCAGUGGGAGCCCCACCACUAAGCCAGUGGUGAACUCCACAUCCGCAUCCUUUGCUGAGGAUACGGUUAACGGAGCGAAAGCGACGUUCAACCGCAAAACAAGCAGAGGGGGCUUAGUGGUGGGGUGACUGCGUACCUUUUGUAUAAUGGGUCAGCGACUUAUAUUCUGUAGCAAGGUUAACCGUAUAGGGGAGCCGGAGGGAAACCGAGUCUUAAUUGGGCGUUAAGUUGCAGGGUAUAGACCCGAAACCCGGUGAUCUAGCCAUGGGCAGGUUGAAGGUUGGGUAACACUAACUGGAGGACCGAACCGACUAAUGUUGAAAAAUUAGCGGAUGACCUGUGGCUGGGGGUGAAAGGCCAAUCAAACCGGGAGAUAGCUGGUUCUCCCCGAAAGCUAUUUAGGUAGCGCCUCGUGAAUUCAUCUCCGGGGGUAGAGCACUGUUUCGGCUAGGGGGCCAUCCCGGCUUACCAACCCGAUGCAAACUGCGAAUACCGGAGAAUGUUAUCACGGGAGACACACGGCGGGUGCUAACGUCCGUCGUGAAGAGGGAAACAACCCAGACCGCCAGCUAAGGUCCCAAAGUCAUGGUUAAGUGGGAAACGAUGUGGGAAGGCCCAGACAGCCAGGAUGUUGGCUUAGAAGCAGCCAUCAUUUAAAGAAAGCGUAAUAGCUCACUGGUCGAGUCGGCCUGCGCGGAAGAUGUAACGGGGCUAAACCAUGCACCGAAGCUGCGGCAGCGAACGUAUCACCCAAGACAACUUUACGGAGUUGACGAUUGACGGAGCGAAGCGACGUCAAAGCGUUCAUUAAAGUCGAGUUGGCUUAGGGAUACGUUCGUUGGGUAGGGGAGCGUUCUGUAAGCCUGUGAAGGUGUGUCGUGAGGCAUGCUGGAGGUAUCAGAAGUGCGAAUGCUGACAUAAGUAACGAUAAAGCGGGUGAAAAGCCCGCUCGCCGGAAGACCAAGGGUUCCUGUCCAACGUUAAUCGGGGCAGGGUGAGUCGACCCCUAAGGCGAGGCCGAAAGGCGUAGUCGAUGGGAAACGGGUUAAUAUUCCCGUACUUGGUGUUACUGCGAAGGGGGGACGGAGAAGGCUAUGUUGGCCGGGCGACGGUUGUCCCGGUUUAAGCGUGUAGGUGUGUGUUCCAGGUAAAUCCGGUUCACUUUAACACUGAGGCGUGACGACGAGGCACUACGGUGCUGAAGCAACAAAUGCCCUGCUUCCAGGAAAAGCCUCUAAGCAUCAGGUAACAUCAAAUCGUACCCCAAACCGACACAGGUGGUCAGGUAGAGAAUACCAAGGCGCUUGAGAGAACUCGGGUGAAGGAACUAGGCAAAAUGGUGCCGUAACUUCGGGAGAAGGCACGCUGACACGUAGGUGAAGUGAUUUACUCAUGGAGCUGAAGUCAGUCGAAGAUACCAGCUGGCUGCAACUGUUUAUUAAAAACACAGCACUGUGCAAACACGAAAGUGGACGUAUACGGUGUGACGCCUGCCCGGUGCCGGAAGGUUAAUUGAUGGGGUCAGCGCAAGCGAAGCUCCUGAUCGAAGCCCCGGUAAACGGCGGCCGUAACUAUAACGGUCCUAAGGUAGCGAAAUUCCUUGUCGGGUAAGUUCCGACCUGCACGAAUGGCGUAAUGAUGGCCAGGCUGUCUCCACCCGAGACUCAGUGAAAUUGAACUCGCUGUGAAGAUGCAGUGUACCCGCGGCAAGACGGAAAGACCCCGUGAACCUUUACUAUAGCUUGACACUGAACAUUGAGCCUUGAUGUGUAGGAUAGGUGGGAGGCUUUGAAGUGUGGACGCCAGUCUGCAUGGAGCCGACCUUGAAAUACCACCCUUUAAUGUUUGAUGUUCUAACGUGGACCCGUAAUCCGGGUUGCGGACAGUGUCUGGUGGGUAGUUUGACUGGGGCGGUCUCCUCCUAAAGAGUAACGGAGGAGCACGAAGGUUGGCUAAUCCUGGUCGGACAUCAGGAGGUUAGUGCAAUGGCAUAAGCCAGCUUGACUGCGAGCGUGACGGCGCGAGCAGGUGCGAAAGCAGGUCAUAGUGAUCCGGUGGUUCUGAAUGGAAGGGCCAUCGCUCAACGGAUAAAAGGUACUCCGGGGAUAACAGGCUGAUACCGCCCAAGAGUUCAUAUCGACGGCGGUGUUUGGCACCUCGAUGUCGGCUCAUCACAUCCUGGGGCUGAAGUAGGUCCCAAGGGUAUGGCUGUUCGCCAUUUAAAGUGGUACGCGAGCUGGGUUUAGAACGUCGUGAGACAGUUCGGUCCCUAUCUGCCGUGGGCGCUGGAGAACUGAGGGGGGCUGCUCCUAGUACGAGAGGACCGGAGUGGACGCAUCACUGGUGUUCGGGUUGUCAUGCCAAUGGCACUGCCCGGUAGCUAAAUGCGGAAGAGAUAAGUGCUGAAAGCAUCUAAGCACGAAACUUGCCCCGAGAUGAGUUCUCCCUGAGACUUAGAGUCUCCUGAAGGAACGUUGAAGACGACGACGUUGAUAGGCCGGGUGUGUAAGCGCAGCGAUGCGUUGAGCUAACCGGUACUAAUGAACCGUGAGGCUUAACCUU